rnacentral:rRNA from 1 species
GACGAACCGUACAAACGUUAUUCGGAAUCACUGGGCUUAAAGGGUGCGUAGGCGGCGGCGCAAGUUGGGUGUGAAAUCCCUCGGCUCAACCGAGGAACUGCGCUCAAACUGCGUUGCUUGAGGGAGAUAGAGGUGAGUGGAACUUAGGGUGGAGCGGUGAAAUGCGUUGAUAUCCUAAGGAACACCAGUGGCGAAAGCGACUCACUGGGUCUCUUCUGACGCUGAGGCACGAAAGCUAGGGUAGCGAAC